UGAGGAGUCGGCGGGGGUCGACAUGGGUCUCUGGUCACGAUUCAGGACGAGGUAUAUUGUUAAAUAAGGUACACUGUCCUGUCAGUAGGGAGGCGAGAAUCUGUUCUGAUACUGGUACUGAACUCAAAGUGCGCCAGCAGCUGUGUGAGGGAACUGCUGCUGACUUGGCGUCUCUUGAUCAGCUGUAAUGCAUCGCGACGGACAUCAGCGGUCAGUACUCCCUGUGAAGAGUGCAGCUGUUGGAGUUUGCCAGCAGACACCUUCAUGCUACAUAAUGUACAUCAAGGAACUUCAGUACUACACGGCCCCUGGGAGUGGGCAACAUCAACAAGCACCAUGGAAUAUUGUAUAUUCAACAAAGAGUAGAUGAAAUAUUAUAGCUGUAGUUGCUAGUAUGUUUUAGUUUAGUUCUGUUAUCCACACUGAUAUCAUACUCAACA